GGUAGGCAAUUUUCCCUUGCCCCUCUAGGCAGGGGAGGGACGCCCUUCCACCUGCCUGAGAUGUGGGUCCCUCUCCGCCCCCAGCUGGGAUUGUAGAUAGUUUUUUGAUUAAAAAGCAACUAAUGGAGAAUUGAAGAGGGUUUUUCAUGGCUGUUUGUAGCUUUGUGGUUGUUGCUUCCAGGCUCUUUGCAUGCAAAUUUGGUUCUUAUUGGAUGGGGUUUCAAUGCAACCUGCGUUGUGUGUCUUUCUUUAUUGGUGUUACUGGUGUUGGUACUGAGAACAAUGUCAGAAGCAAAUGGGAAAGUUUCCUCGAUGCUAGUGUCUGUAGAGAUUGAUCAAGGAUAAGUGGUGAUUUUAGAGUCUUGAGAGCUUGCUACACCAGCUUGCACACCCAUGGUUGGGCUCUUGGUGUUUGGUUCUAGUACUUCUCUUCUUGCCUUUUUUACUAGGGUUUUCUUGGGUCGUAGCUGUACUUGAACCUCUUUGUUAUUCCUUAUGUACUGUUUCCCAGUAACAGCCUGUGGAGAUGGUGGCGGCAGUAGUAACUGCAAGGUUCUUGCUGACAUCUAUGAUGCACGAAAAUGGGAGGGGCAGCGUUUCCCCGUUCCAGAAAUGUUU
rnacentral:misc_RNA from 1 species